GAUGAACGCUAGCUACAGGCUUAACACAUGCAAGUCGAGGGGAAACGAUAGAGAAAGCUUGCUUUUCUAGGCGUCGACCGGCGCACGGGUGAGUAACGCGUAUCCAACCUGCCCAUCACUUGGGAAUAACCUUGCGAAAGUAAGACUAAUGCCCAAUGACAUUUAUAGAAGGCAUCUGAAAUGAAUUAAAGAUUUAUCGGUGAUGGAUGGGGAUGCGUCUGAUUAGCUUGUUGGCGGGGUAACGGCCCACCAAGGCGACGAUCAGUAGGGGUUCUGAGAGGAAGGUCCCCCACAUUGGAACUGAGACACGGUCCAAACUCCUACGGGAGGCAGCAGUGAGGAAUAUUGGUCAAUGGACGGGAGUCUGAACCAGCCAAGUAGCGUGCAGGACGACGGCCCUAUGGGUUGUAAACUGCUUUUAUAGGGGGAUAAAGUGAGCCACGUGUGGCUUUUUGCAUGUACCCUAUGAAUAAGGACCGGCUAAUUCCGUG
rnacentral:rRNA from 1 species